GGGUGAUUAGCUCAGCUGGCUAGAGCGCCACAUUGACGUUGUGGAGGCCGGGGGUUCGACUCCCUCAUCACCCA
rnacentral:tRNA from 1 species